GACGAACGCUGGCGGCGUGCUUAACACAUGCAAGUCGAACGGAAAGGCCCUGCUUUUGUGGGGUGCUCGAGUGGCGAACGGGUGAGUAACACGUGAGUAACCUGCCCUUGACUUUGGGAUAACUUCAGGAAAUUGGGGCUAAUACCGGAUAGGAGCUCCUGCUGCAUGGUGGGGGUUGGAAAGUUUCGGCGGUUGGGGAUGGACUCGCGGCUUAUCAGCUUGUUGGUGGGGUAGUGGCUUACCAAGGCAUUGACGGGUAGCCGGCCUGAGAGGGUGACCGGCCACAUUGGGACUGAGAUACGGCCCAGACUCCUACGGGAGGCAGCAGUGGGGAAUAUUGCACAAUGGGCGGAAGCCUGAUGCAGCAACGCCGCGUGCGGGAUGACGGCCUUCGGGUUGUAAACCGCUUUCGCCUGUGACGAAGCGUGAGUGACGGUAAUGGGUAAAGAAGCAACGGCUAACUACGUG
rnacentral:rRNA from 1 species